rnacentral:rRNA from 1 species
UACGUAGGUGGCAAGCGUUGUCCGGAAUUAUUGGGCGUAAAGCGCGCGCAGUUGGUUCCUUAAGUCUGAUGUGUAAGCCCCCGGCUCAACCGGGGAGGGUCAUUGGAAACUGGGGAACUUGAGUGCAGAAGAGGAUAGUGGAAUUCCAAGUGUAGCGGUGAAAUGCGUAGAGAUUUGGAGGAACACCAGUGGCGAAGGCGACUAUCUGGUCUGUAACUGACACUGAGGCGCGAAAGCGUGGGGAGCAAACAGG